AACGCCGCGUGGAGGAUGAAGGUCUUCGGAUUGUAAACUCCUGUCAUCCGGGAGUAAGACCUGGCGAUGAAAAGUCGACAGGGUUGAUAGUACCGGAAGAGGAAGGGACGGCUAACUUCGUGCCAGCAGCCGCGGUAAUACGAAGGUCCCGAGCGUUGUUCGGAAUCACUGGGCGUAAAGGGAGCGUAGGCGGCGCGGUAAGUCAGAUGUGAAAUCCCGGGGCUCAACCUCGGAACUGCAUCCGAUACUGCCGUGCUAGAGGAUUGGAGAGGUAGCUGGAAUUCUUGGUGUAGCAGUGAAAUGCGUGGAUAUCAAGAGGAACACUCGUGGCGAAAGCGAGCUACUGGACAACUCCUGACGCUGAGGCUCGAAGGCCAGGGGAGCGAAAGGGAUUAGAUACCCCUGUAGUCCUGGCAGUAAACGGUGCACGCUUGGUGUGAGGGGAAUCGACCCCCCUCGUGCCGGAGCUAACGCGUUAAGCGUGCCGCCUGGGGAUUACGGUCGCAAGACUA
rnacentral:rRNA from 1 species